rnacentral:rRNA from 1 species
AGACGACGCUGGCGGCGUGCCUAACACAUGCAAGUCGAGCGGGGUGGUUCUGAAGGGCAACCGGAGGGAUCACCUAGCGGCGAACGGGUGAGUAACGCGUGGAUAACCUACCUCAAGGUCUGGGAUAACAGCUCGAAAGGGCUGCUAAUACCGGAUGUGGUGCAUAUGCUGCAUGGUAGAUGCACUAAAGGGGAAACCCGCCAUGAGAUGGGUCCGCGUCCCAUCAGCUAGUUGGUGGGGUAAAGGCCUACCAAGGCGACGACGGGUAGCCGGCCUGAGAGGGUGACCGGCCACACUGGGACUGAGACACGGCCCAGACUCCUACGGGGGGCAGCAGUGGGGAAUAUUGCACAAUGGGCGAAAGCCUGAUGCAGCGACGCCGCGUGGGCGAAGAAGGCCUUCGGGUUGUAAAGCCCUGUCUGGAGGGACGAAGUAAUGACGGUACCUCCGGAGGAAGCCACGGCUAACUACGUG